UGAGAGAUCCCAACAUAAUUACUGACAGACUUACUGGUUGGUACUUCUUUGUAUUUAUUUCAUUGUCAUCCACAUCCAGCAU
rnacentral:tRNA from 1 species